GUCUACUAAAAAGUAAUUUGUUAAAACAUAGAAACUAAACUAAACUAGUAAUGUAACAAAAUUCAAGGAUAAAAGAAGUAUAAACCAUUUUAUAUUAAGAGUAGAAUUUGUGUGUCAGCUGAUGGAAAAUUAAGUGUAAUAUAGGAGACUAAAAUGCGUCACUUUUUGAGGCUCAAAGUGUUUGAGUAUGAGCAAAAAAGCAAAACAUAAUGAAAAGAUUCCAUCUUCUGAAAGGAGAAGUGAAGGGACGAUUCUCAGUUGUAGUAGCAGUAGUAAUAAAUAGAAUUGGACCACACAACAAAGCAAAAUCUUAUCCCAUUUAUGACAUGUCAAAUUGCAAACUGGGAAUUGAUCGUUGAAGUUGACUCUUAUAUAGUUUUCUUCUGUUUAAAUCUCUUGUGAUCUUUAGAUUUUGUUGGACCAUGAGAUGCUGGGGGCUGUGGGCUGGGUCCUGUUGUACUAACUUAACUCACUGCAUGGGGGUUGCACUAUAAUUGUAAAUAAAAUGAUAUAUUUACUUAAUUAUUACUCAACAGAAUAUCUCAUAUUAUCAAAAUUCCAAUCAAUUUUUUAUUUUUGAAGACUGGUAUUAAUUUCUUUUAAUUAUUAAUUCCACGCUUUCAUUUUUAAGCUCUAAAGCCUUGUUGCCUAAGGUGUGCCAAUGAAUUUGACUAAUAUACUUAAUAACAAGGUUAGGGAAAGAAGAAAUCAAACUACUAACACUCCUAACAUCAUCAGCUAAGAGGGAAAGAUUAUUAGUCUCUUGAACAAUUUUAUCAAUUACCAUUUUACAAUAGAUUCAACACUAACUGUCCUCAAAGAAGUGCCAUCUGCAAAGCCUUUGCCUCCAUUAAGGGAGAAGGAUGAGCUCCUCCUAAAGGUGAACAAAUUCCAGACCACCUCCCUACUAUGAUCACGAACAACAAUUCAUAUGCUUGAACACUUAUGAGAGAAAGAGAUUGCAGCAUUCACAUUCAUCUUCAAUUCUCCUUCAGGUGGUGGAACCCAAGAAACUCUGUGAAAUGAACGGCUAUGGCCGAGGGCGGCAAGGCCGAGAACGGCAGCGGGGCCGGAAGUAACACUUAGCACAUGGGAUGCUUAUAGUCAGGGUAGGACCCAGAGGAUACAUGUGAGAUCCUUACGGUAAGGGCAAAGGCUGAGUCAACCAACCAUGAGUAUGGAGAGCGUGAAGCGACGCGUACAUGUUUGGCCUGUCCGACUGCUUUGGUUGGGGGUUUAUACGAGAAAUGGCUGUAAUAACCUAUGAUUUUUAUAACUAGUCAACUGUAAACUUAUUUUAUGAUGUAAAUAGUUUUCAAACCUUAUUUUGGGAUCCCAAAUGUUUAAUACUAGAAGUUUUAA